ensembl:lncRNA
CACCGUGCACACAAACCCCGAAGAGCGCGUGAGAUCACCGUGAACCCGUCGCAUUCCUGUAACGCGUAACGUGUUGGUGGGAAUGUUCCUGGUCGAGAGGGGGGGGCGGGACUUAAGGCACGUCAGUCAGGCCGCGCGGCGGAGGAACGAGUCGGCGACACCUGCGAACAAAGUGAUAACCGACUUCCAGCGCGCGAACGCGCGUGAAGCUGACGCGCGCGUUCACGCGGAAUACGUCGUUCCAAAAGGUGUUCGUGACACGGAGGAGCGAGCAACGGGAUUAUAAAAAAAAAAAAAAAAAAACACAAAGAAAAAAAGUUCAUUUGAAGACUUCGAGUGAUGCGAUUUUAAGUGGAACCCGGAGCGGGAGCAGAGGCACGAGCGCAGGCUUCUGGUGGAUGGAGAGACGAUGGAGGGGAACAGAACAGAGGUGCCCCUGUAUGGACAGGUGGAGGCCCUGGUGAGCUCACCAGCCGACGCCCCCGACCGAGCGGAGUUUUACGUCGUUGUGCGAGGCUCCGCCCUCACGCACGUGACCGCGGCGAAACGAGGAGCCGACGGACGGACCCUCUGCUACACGGUUCCUGGCCACGCCCCCGCGGAAGCCGCCGCCGUCACGUCCUACUUCUACGCGGCGGGGCGGGGUGGAGCCGUGCGAGGGCCGGGCCUCCCUCCAGUACCUGGCGGACGCGGCCCAGGAGGCGGCAGAGCACCUGAAAGCGAACCGCGAGCGGCUCGGCCCCCGGAGCCACCUGGAGGUGCUGGAGAGGUUCUCCGCCGCGGGGUUAGAGCGCCGCGAGGAGGAGGAGGAGGACGGGAUUUCAGGUGGGGAGUCCGGUCUGGGGAAGCUGGAUGAGAAGAUCACACAAGCCAUGGCCAACAUGGAAUACCCUCAGCAGUGGAGUGAGGCCGACGCUCAGCCCAGAGAAGUCACGGAGGUGACGGAGAGUUUUGGUCCAUCAAAGGAGGGAAAAGAGGAAACGAGAGUUCUCCUGCACAUUGUUCCGGGGUUUGAGCGAAAGCGCCAUGGCAACCGUCUACUCUCAGCCACACUUAAAGGGAAGAUGAAGUACCCCGGGUCCUCUCUGCAAACAGCCCCCCUCCCCCUUCCCUCCCCCCCCGUGCUCACAAAACAACAGGGGCGUACGUGGAG